AUUGAACGCUAGCGGGAUGCUUAACACAUGCAAGUCGAACGAGUGGCGGACGGGUGAGUAAUAUAUCGGAAAGUGCCCAGUAGAGGGGGAUAACUACUCGAAAGAGUGGCUAAUACCGCAUACUAUUGGAGUGGCCUAUGUCGGAUUAGCUAGUUGGUGGGGUAAAGGCUCACCAAGGCGACGAUCCGUAGCUGGUUUGAGAGGAAGACCAGCCACACUGGGACGGAGACACGGCCCAGACUCCUACGGGAGGCAGCAGUGGGGAAUUUUGGACAAUGGGGGAAACCCUGAUCCAGCCAUCCCGCGUGUAUGAGAAGGCCUUCGGGUUGUAAAGUACUUUAAGCAGGGAGGCGGUACCUGCAGAAUAAGCACCGGCUAACUACGUGCCAGCAGCCGCGGUAAUUC
rnacentral:rRNA from 1 species